rnacentral:rRNA from 1 species
UAGAGUUUUGAUCCUGGCUCAGGACGAACGCUGGCGGCGUGCUUAACACAUGCAAGUCGAACGAUGAAGCCUUUCGGGGUGGAUUAGUGGCGAACGGGUGAGUAACACGUGGGCAAUCUGCCCUUCACUCUGGGACAAGCCCUGGAAACGGGGUCUAAUACCGGAUAAUACUUUCUCUCUCAUGGGGGAAGGUUAAAAGCUCCGGCGGUGAAGGAUGAGCCCGCGGCCUAUCAGCUAGUUGGUGGGGUAAUGGCCUACCAAGGCGACGACGGGUAGCCGGCCUGAGAGGGCGACCGGCCACACUGGGACUGAGACACGGCCCAGACUCCUACGGGAGGCAGCAGUGGGGAAUAUUGCACAAUGGGCGAAAGCCUGAUGCAGCGACGCCGCGUGAGGGAUGACGGCCUUCGGGUUGUAAACCUCUUUCAGCAGGGAAGAAGCGAAAGUGACGGUACCUGCAGAAGAAGCGCCGGCUAACUACGUGCCAGCAGCCGCGGUAAUACGUAGGGCGCAAGCGUUGUCCGGAAUUAUUGGGCGUAAAGAGCUCGUAGGCGGCUUGUUGCGUCGGUUGUGAAAGCCCGGGGCUUAACCCCGGGUCUGCAGUCGAUACGGGCAGGCUAGAGUGUGGUAGGGGAGAUCGGAAUUCCUGGUGUACGGUGAAAUGCGCAGAUAUCAGGAGGAACACCGGG